GGGGACUUAGCUCAGUGAUAGAGUACUUGCCUGGCAUGCAGGAGGCCCCAGGUUCAAUCCUCAGCCUCUG
rnacentral:tRNA from 1 species